UACCAGCACCCCGAGUGGUCGGGACGUUUUAUUGGGCCUAAAGCAUCCGUAGCCGGUUCUACAAGUCUUCCGUUAAAUCCACCUGCUUAACAGAUGGGCCGCGGAGGAUACUAUAAGACUAGGAGGCAGGAGAGGCAAGCGGUACUCAGUGGGUAGGGGUAAAAUCCGUUGAUCCAUUGAAGACCACCAGUGGCGAAGGCGGCUUGCCAGAAUGCGCUCGACGGUGAGGGAUGAAAGCUGGGGGAGCAAACCGGG
rnacentral:rRNA from 1 species